AUGCACGCUGGCGGCGUGCCUCAUACCUGCCAGUCGCGCGAACAGACGAGGAGCUUGCUCCUCUGACGUUAGCGGCGGACGGGUGAGUAACACGUGGAUAACCUACCUAUAAGACUGGGAUAACUUCGGGAAACCGGAGCUAAUACCGGAUAAUAUAUUGAACCGCAUGGUUCAAUAGUGAAAGACGGUUUUGCUGUCACUUAUAGAUGGAUCCGCGCCGCAUUAGCUAGUUGGUAAGGUAACGGCUUACCAAGGCAACGAUGCGUAGCCGACCUGAGAGGGUGAUCGGCCACACUGGAACUGAGACACGGUCCAGACUCCUACGGGAGGCAGCAGUAGGGAAUCUUCCGCAAUGGGCGAAAGCUUGACGGAGCAACGCCGCGUGAGUGAUGAAGGUCUUCGGAUCGUAAAACUCUGUUAUUAGGGAAGAACAAAUGUGUAAGUAACUAUGCACGUCUUGACGGUACCUAAUCAGAAAGCCACGGCUAACUACGUG
rnacentral:rRNA from 1 species